GAUGAACGCUAGCUACAGGCUUAACACAUGCAAGUCGCGGGGCAGCAUGGGGGUUGCUUGCAAUCCCCGAUGGCGACCGGCGCACGGGUGAGUAACGCGUAUCCAACCUGCCCUUCACCACGGGAUAACCCGGCGAAAGUCGGACUAAUACCGUAUGUUGUCCAUUGACGGCAUCCGAUUUGGACGAAAGGUUUGGCGGUGAAGGAUGGGGAUGCGUCCGAUUAGCUGGACGGCGGGGUGACGGCCCACCGUGGCGACGAUCGGUAGGGGUUCUGAGAGGAAGGUCCCCGACACGGGAACUGGGACACGGUCCAGACUCCUACGGGAGGCAGCAGUGAGGAAUAUUGGUCAAUGGGCGUAAGCCUGAACCAGCCAAGUAGCGUGCAGGAGGACGGCCCUAUGGGUUGUAAACUGCUUUUAUGCGGGGAUAAAGUGGCCCACGUGUGGGUUUUUGCAGGUACCGCAUGAAUAAGGACCGGCUAAUUCCGUG
rnacentral:rRNA from 1 species